AAACCAUCAAGGAAGACUGAUAGAUCUGCCUACAUCUGGCAACAUAUGAAACAGGCUGGAUUUUAGUAUCCUUAAUGUACGAUAAAUCAGAUUGUUACAAGGGGAAAACAACAGCAACAAAAUCCAACCAUGACCACAACUGACAUUUCUUCUUUUUCUCCAGCCCUUUAGAGACUUUGCUCUGAACAGAAUUGCUGGUGUUGACAGCUACUCGGUUUUCAAGAGCAGGGAUAAGAACAAAAAAUGCCUACAUCCCACACCUGUCUCUCUGAAAUGGCCCUAAUGGGGAAUCUAACAAUUUCAAAUUCAAUAAACAUUUAUUAACC
rnacentral:lncRNA from 1 species